GCCCUGGUGGCACAGUGGUUAAGCAUUUGGCUGCUAACCAAAAGGUCAGUAGUUCGAAUCCACUCCUUGGAA
rnacentral:tRNA from 1 species